CGACUCUCGGCAACGGGAUAUCUCGGCUCACG
rnacentral:rRNA from 1 species